GUCGAGUUGUGUCAGUGUUCUCACGAACAGAUGAACUCGUCGCCAUUUUCGCCGCUUUUCCUUAUUGAUAAAAAAAAACUUGACCGGAUAUAGAACUGCUUUAGAGCUGCUGUGGGUUAAAAUUUUAACAUUAAUAAUUACCUUUAAAACGUAUUUUACCGUCGUUAAUGAUAUCAAAAACAGUGUAAUAGCAGUAAUAAUUUUUGUGUUGCCAUAAAAUUCGAGCUAGGUUGAAAAUGGAUAAUAUUCAGCAAAACUCCAAUGGUUCGAAUUUCAAUGAUUUUAAUGAUGUUAAUUUGACUAUACGAAUCUUAUUUCAUGGCCGAGAAGUUGGAAAUGUCAUCGGCAAAGGAGGUGAAACAGUUAAAAACAUUAGAGAUCAGUCCGGUGCUAGAGUUUUAAUAUCUGAUGGUUCAACUCCAGAGCGUAUAGUUACAAUCACAGGAACUACUAAUGCUAUUUGUAAAGCCACAGAACUUAUUGGACUCAAAGUGGAAGAGUUUUUUGAAAGACAAAAUGGAGAUUGGAAUGGUCCAAAAGCACCUUUGACAUUCAAAUUGAUAGUGCCGGCCUCGCAGUGUGGUUUUAUUAUUGGUAAAGGUGGAUGUAAAAUAAAAGAAAUCAGAGAAUCGAGUGGAGCCGCUAUACAGGUAGCUUCUGAUAUGUUGCCCAAUUCAACUGAGCGCCUAGUUUCAAUUACUGGCACAACAGGAACGAUUUCUCAAUGUGUUUAUCAAGUGUGCAAUGUUCUAUUAGAUUCACCACCACGUAGUGCCACUAUACCUUACGAUCCACGUAGUAAAACUUCAGGUUUUGCAAACAAUGCUGUUGGAAAUGAUUUUGGAAGGCAACGUACUAACCCUUUAGCUAGUCUUGCCGCCCUUGGGCUAGGGACUGCUUCGACCGGAGGUAUAAAUCCUGCUGCUUUAGCUGCAUUAGCAGGCAGUCAAUUGAGAACAGGAAAUCGUCAUAAUCGUAAUAGUAGUGGAGAUAGUAAAAAUCAAAACUCAAAUUUAAAUAAUGAAACUAUUUCAAUGACAGUACCUAAUGAUUUAAUUGGUUGUGUAAUCGGUAGAAGAGGAAGCAAAAUAGCAGAAAUUCGACAAAUAAGUGGAGCGUUAGUGCAUAUUGCUAAAGGUGAAGGUACACAUGAAAAUGGUGAAAACGAAGAUCGGCAUAUUACCAUAACUGGAAACAAAGACUCUAUAUCGGUGGCAAAGUACUUAAUUGAAAUGAGCGUGGAACUGCAGAAAGCCAAUCUUGAGGGGGCAAACUCAUCCUCUAGUCCUGAUGAUGGGUCCAGCUCAACCUUGCCCAGUCCUCCGACGGUGGCCGCAUCUCCUUUGUCGUCCGCCAUCCCACUGGCUCAACUGUUCGCCAAGCCGGGCGCAAUAAAUGCUCUCUCCAGCUUAUCUGCUCUUGGUGGCUUAACCGACCUCCUGGGAGCCUUAUCCGGCGCCACUCAAUCCCCUCCAAUACAGACCACGGGUGUUCAUCGCCCGAAAAAUUAUUUCCAGCGAAACCGCAGCCCUUCUGGCGACAAAACUAAAGCAGACAGGACCAAGUUUGCUCCUUACUGAAUACUUAUUUAUUGAUCCCGCAUCCACAAAUUAUUGUCGUUCAUUAUAGUUUUUAAUCCUAUUCAUCUUCAUUUCUUUAUUAUAAGUAUUUUUUUUUUUUUUUUGUUAUUUAACUUAAUUAAAAAUGCAACAAUUUUUCCACUUUUGAAAGCCCGGAAAAUAUUUCUAUUUUAUUUGUCAUCCAUUUGUCUGUUUUUAUUAAAUAUAACUUUUGUUUUAAAGAGUUGAAUCAACUUAAAUUUUAAUAAUUACCUUAUAAAUUUGUCCUUAACGGGUCAAAAUACUUUGCAUUAAGGUUUUGGUAAAUUAUUUUUAAUUAAAAUAUUGUAUUGUGUCCAAUUUAUUUUAUUUCACUUUUUAGUUAUAGAGUGUUUCCAAUCACUACAUAGUCUAUAUCUUAAUUCUUACAUAAUUUUGUAGUUCUUAAUGAAUAAUAUAAUAUCUUGUAUUCCUUAGAAAAAAAAUCAUAUUUUUUAUUAUUGUUUUUCCUUUAAAACCCAUUCUUACAAAUGCAGUCCAAGGAAUAUAUUAAAUAAGUAUCGGCAUAAGCCACAGCAGCAAGAACAUCUCUAAAUCAAUGAUAAAGAGGGACUGUGGAGAAAUAAGCUAAUGAGAUGUGUCCUGUUGAAUAUGGCUUAUGUUUAUUCCUAACAUUGUACACUAUGAAAAUCAACUCUAAUUAAAAUGAAAAUUCUAAAGGUUCUAUUUUUACUAGACUGGAUACACAAAAAUGGGUUCAUUUGAAGUUCUCUCGAUGAAACUACUGUAUAAAUUAAUCACUUCAAAAACGGUGGCAAAAAAAGUUGUCCAUUCAAUAUAAAAACCCAGGUGGCAGAUGGAUUUAUAAGAUGUCAACACUUUUCAUAUCAGUUAUAGAUGAAAUAACUGAGUAAUUAAUAAACGCGGUUUAUUUACAGAAAAUGGACAACUAAACAUAUGACCAUGAAGACUAGAACAAGGAGACCUAACUCUGUUUAUCGGGUAUCAUUCAAAAAUGAGUCACAUGAUUAAUUGCUCACCAGAAUGUGGGCGGAUGGGUAGCUAAUUUUUACAUGUUCUUAUUCAUUUGUUUAAAUUGAUUAUAACAUGGAAAGCAAUAAAAAUAUGAAAACCUUUUUUUUAUUACAAUAUUUUAUGUAAUAUUAUAAUUAUUAUUUUAUAAUUUAAGUUUAACAAUAUAAUAAUUAUCAAUAUUAAAUAUGCAAUCUAAAAACAAUUAUUAGAGAAUGAGUGUUCCAAAA